ACGGAAGGCAGCAGUGGGGAAUAUUGGACAAUGGAGGAAACUCUGAUCCAGCGACGCCGCGUGAGUGAAGAAGUAUUUCGGUAUGUAAAGCUCUAUCAGCAGGGAAGAUAAUGACGGUACCUGACUAAGAAGCCCCGGCUAACUACGUGCCAGCAGCCGCGGUAAUACGUAGGGGGCAAGCGUUAUCCGGAUUUACUGGGUGUAAAGGGAGCGUAGACGGUGAAGCAAGUCAGAAGUGAAAGCUCGGGGCUCAACCCCGGAACUGCUUUUGAAACUGUUUUACUAGAGUGCAGGAGAGGUAAGCGGAAUUCCUAGUGUAGCGGUGAAAUGCGUAGAUAUUAGGAGGAACACCAGUGGCGAAGGCGGCUUACUGGACUGUAACUGACGUUGAGGCUCGAAAGCGUGGGGAGCAAACAGGAUUAGAUACCCUGGUA
rnacentral:rRNA from 1 species